GGGGAUGACAGGCUUUGACAAGUCUGGUCGUCGGAAUGACGCGCGAGAGAGCCGGGAGAACUCUUUAAUCCCUUCCAAAACAUAACUGCAAAAAACACUUUUGCGAAAAUCGUUUCUCCGUACUUUACGGCUAACGAUUUUCAGUUUGCUUACGCUCGAGUUUAAUCUCGCAUAAGUAAACUGCGCAGUACCGUGAGAUGUCUUAGGUAGCGGAGACUGUGUUAUCACUUGAGACUUUAUCUCGAUAUUCCUCUAGUCGAGACGAAACUUAGAGGAUAGAGAUUUGGGAGUUUUCGUUUGUUUUACAACUCAAAUCUCAAAUCAAAAUAAGCAAACUAGCCCGCGUAGACCUCACUUUGACCCUUUCUUGGACUCGGAUUCAAUUUCCGACAUCUCCACAA
rnacentral:tmRNA from 1 species